CCAGACUCCUACGGGAGGCAGCAGUGGGGAAUAUUGGGCAAUGGGCGCAAGCCUGACCCAGCAACGCCGCGUGAAGGAAGAAGGCUUUCGGGUUGUAAACUUCUUUUGACAGGGAAGAGCAGAAGACGGUACCUGUCGAAUAAGCCACGGCUAACUACGUGCCAGCAGCCGCGGUAAUACGUAGGUGGCAAGCGUUGUCCGGAUUUACUGGGUGUAAAGGGCGUGUAGCCGGGCUGACAAGUCAGAUGUGAAAGCCGGGGGCUCAACCCCCGAACUGCAUUGGAAACUGUUGGUCUGGAGUAUCGGAGAGGCAGGCGGAAUUCCUAGUGUAGCGGUGAAAUGCGUAGAUAUUAGGAGGAACACCAGUGGCGAAGGCGGCCUGCUGGACGACAACUGACGGUGAGGCGCGAAAGCGUGGGGAGCAAACAGGAUUAGAUACCCGAGUA
rnacentral:rRNA from 1 species